AUUGAACGCUGGCGGCAUGCCUUACACAUGCAAGUCGAACGAGUGGCGAACGGGUGAGUAAUACAUCGGAAUGUGCCCUGUAGAGGGGGAUAACUAGUAGAAAGAUUAGCUAAUACCGCAUACUAUAGGAGCGGCCGAUGUGUGAUUAGCUAGUUGGUGGGGUAAAGGCCCACCAAGGCGACGAUCCAUAGCUGUUCUGAGAGGAGGAUCAGCCACACUGGGACUGAGACACGGCCCAGACUCCUACGGUAGGCAGCAGUGGGGAAUUUUGGACAAUGGGCGAAAGCCUGAUCCAGCAAUGCCGCGUGUGUGAAGAAGGCCUUCGGGUUGUAAAGCACUUUUGUCCGGAAAGCGGUACCGGAAGAAUAAGGACCGGCUAACUACGUGCCAGCAGCCGCGGUAAUAC
rnacentral:rRNA from 1 species